UUCGCAAUGCCCGAAAGGGUGACGAAGCGACGCCGCGUGGGUGAGGAAGGCCCUCGGGUUGUAAAGCCCUGUCAGGAGUUAAGAAAUGCAGGUGUGCUAAUAUCACACCUGCUUGACGAAGGCUCCAAAGGAAGUCACGGCUAACUCUGUGCCAGCAGCCGCCGUAAUACAGAGGUGGCAAGCGUUGUUCGGAAUUAUUGGGCGUAAAGAGCACGUAGGUGGGUUUGUAAGUCAGAUGUGAAAGCCUCCUGUUCAACGGGAGAAUUGCAUCUGAAACUGCGAAUCUUGAGUAUAGGAGGGGAGAAUGGAACUUCUGGUGGAGCGGUGAAAUGCGUAGAUAUCAGAAGGAACGCCGGCGGCGAAAGCGAUUCUCUGGCCUAUUACUGACACUCAGUGUGCGAAAGCUAGGGGAGCAAACGGGAUUAGAUACCCCGGUAGUCCUAGCCGUAAACGAUGGGCACUAAGUAGAGGGGUUUU
rnacentral:rRNA from 1 species